rnacentral:tRNA from 1 species
GGGUCCGUAGCUCAAAUGGUAGAGCAUUCGUGUUACAAGCGAAAGGUUGAAGGUUCAAAUCCUUCCGGACUCACCA